rnacentral:rRNA from 1 species
GACGAACGCUGGCGGCGUGCUUAACACAUGCAAGUCGAACGGAAAGGCCCUGCUUUUGUGGGGUGCUCGAGUGGCGAACGGGUGAGUAACGCGUGAGUAACCUGCCCUUGACUUUGGGAUAACUUCAGGAAACUGGGGCUAAUACCGGAUAGGAGCUCCUGCUGCAUGGUGGGGGUUGGAAAGUUUCGGCGGUUGGGGACGGACUCGCGGCUUAUCAGCUUGUUGGUGGGGUAGUGGCUUACCAAGGCUUUGACGGGUAGCCGGCCUGAGAGGGUGACCGGCCACAUUGGGACUGAGAUACGGCCCAGACUCCUACGGGAGGCAGCAGUGGGGAAUAUUGCCCAAUGGGCGGAAGCCUGAUGCAGCAACGCCGCGUGCGGGAUGACGGCCUUCGGGUUGUAAACCGCUUUCGCCUGUGACGAAGCGUGAGUGACGGUAAUGGGUAAAGAAGCACCGGCUAACUACGUG